AGGAGGCAGGCCCGGGAGAAAAGGUGGCGGUGCGGGGGAGGCCGCACCGCACUGCCAAGGGGGCGACCCCCGGACUCCCUCGCCCGGCUGGGGGGAAACGGAGGGAGCCGGAGAGGGCCGCCGUUCAACAGCUUGCUUUAAAAUACACUGCAGAGAACAUGAGGAACUACUUGCAAUUGGUAAGUAUAAGUAUACCUGGAAUAUUCACUGUAUAAUAUGAAUGACCCCUCAAAUAGGGGAAGAAAAUUACUUAGAAUGGCUUUCCUGGUGAGUGGCAGCUAGGGAAAUGGGAAUUAUUUGGAUGAUAAUUUGUCAAAAAAAGGACCAGGUUACAGAUAUUUACCAUUUUCUAAGGUUUAAAGACUUUAGAACUAUUCUAGGGAGUGUGGUGAUGGAUCUUUACCAAAAUUUAUAUGCUGCCUACUCUUCAAAUUCUGGCUGCUUACAGCAUUUGAGUAAAACAUUAAUAGGGCCAUAAAAUACAUCUGUUGUAUCAACAAAUAAUGAAGCUAAACUCAUAGGUCUGUAAAUUAAAUCCAAAUGCUCUCUUAGGAAUAUUUUUAUCUUACAAAAAAAAAACACCCCGCCACCUGGCACACCUAAAUGGUGAGGCAGAGGGCUACUACUAAGUUAAUCCAGUAUCUAGGUCUGAGCAUCCAGUAUCUUUCGGAGGGCAUCUGGAAUAUCCUAUCCCUAUUUAAUCUUGAAAACGGACAUCUGGUAGAAAAGGGCCCCUUAAGAUCAAUGCAAUAUAGCAAUACAUUGCAUUCAUUUUACUUAGAAAAAUAUCCCAAAAUAGUCACUGAUGCCCAUCAAAGAAAGUAUAAGAUUUUUCUACAUUUUAGAAGAAUAUGAAGCUAUCACUCAUCAAGCGAGGUUCAGCACAUUAUAGGCCUGCAGCUUGCAAUUUGUCAAGAAACCUCCAUGACUGUCCCAUUUUUUGAUCAUCUUAAAAGUUGGAAAUGGGGUCGGGGAGACUGUAGGAAUAGACUUGUACCAUUCUCAUUUUUAAACCCUCCAAGACAUGAAUUAAUGCACUUGAAAACUAGCAAUAAUAGUGCACUUUGGGGGGGGGGCAGGGAGAUUUUAAGUGUGGACACCUUUAGAAUCCUUAGUUGGGGAGGGGGAAAUCACAUGGCUGAAAACUAAUAAUUCAUUUGACUAGAGUUCCAGUGAUGAGGGUUCAUGUCAACUGCAUACUGCCCCUCCCUGGUAUGCUGAACGAUUCUGCCCCUCUAGGAUUUCAGACAGUAUUUUCUCAGUUUGGGGGGGACCACUUCAAUCGGCAUACUGCCCCUCCCCAAUGUGCCAAAUGAUUCUGCCUCUCUUAGGAUUUCAGACAGUAUUUUCUCCGUUUGGGGGAACACAUCAUCUGCAUACUGGCCUUACCCAUUACGCGAAUGACUCUUCCUCUCUAGGAUUUCAGAUAGUAUUUUCUCAAUUUGGGGGAACACGUCAUCUGCAUACUGGCCUUGCCCAAUACACAAAUGAUUCUGCCUCUCUAGGAUUUCAGACAGUAUUUUUUCAGUCAUUCGGCUGCUUAGCUACAAUCCUUUCUACGUUCUCAGCAAAAAAGUAAGAAAAUGUACCCACCCUAAGAAAAAAGCUGAUCAGUCUGGAAACACAUCUCUAUAUUUAGUGUUUGCUUCAAUUUAGCAUUCUUCAAAAUGGCCCACCUUGCCAAAAGGGGGAGAAAAAAGGUGACCCAACACAGGUAAGUCAUCUUGGUUGGUGUUUAUUUGAAGCCGUUAAAGACAUGUCCUCAUUUUCGCCAGCACUAGAAAGCAAGGUUCCACAGGACUUCACCUGGUUAAAGCCAUACAACUGGACUAAGGGUUUGUGCUGGAUACAUCUGCAGUCUCCAUUGAAAAGUUAAAAACAUCAAUAAACUGAAUACAGGAGAGAGAAAACUUUCAUUUACAGCAUGGGUAUGGUUAAGUUCAGUCACUUUCAAUGUGUUAAAUUAAAUACGUACGUACAAGUUCUGUUUAAACGAGUUUUAAAAUGCCAAUAGAAGUGCAAACUUAAAAAUCAAGCAGCAUAAAACAAAAUUUUUGAUGGCGGGCCAAUCCUUAACUGAUUUAUAUUUGCCUUAUCUUCAAGUCCAAUAUAUUACUACUUUAGUUUAAACAUGAACAGGAGAUGCAAUUAUUAUAUGCAAUAUAAAUAGAGCCAGGUAGUAAUUCUAACAGUCUUCCAUAAAAGUGAAUCCUGAAAAUAAACUUAAACGGUAGUUUUAAACAUAAAAGGCUGUUUUGCAUUUGGCCUUUGGUUCUAAUGCUUGAGAACACCAGAAAAGACAAUGGUGCAGCUUUCCAAAGUUGCUAGACUUUGGCAACUGACAAAACAUCACAUCACUUACAGUUUCCUUCUUUUGAAAAACUAGGAGCAUUCACUUGCAAAGUGGAAGAGUACUGGUGGGGGUGGGGCAUUUCCAAAUUCUGUAUGAGUCCCAAUGAAUCUUUUGUAGAACUGGAAAGUCAUAUGCUAUUGGCCUUUUUUGUUUUGCAAAUCCAACGUUCAUUUUAUGCAAAUAAAAAAAAAAUCCUGUUGUCUACAGCUUUAUAAAAAAAAAAAGUAAAUUAUCUUGGUGCGUGACAAAACUUUUAAUAAGACCCAGUUGGGCCUUGAGACCUAACUGGUGCUCUUAGAACAGCAGUAAAUAAUUUGUUGCGUUUUCCCCAAACCCAGUUUCAGUCUUAAAGGUUUUAUUCUCCAGAAUUCCAUGAAAUCAUCCGGCUGCCAUAAUCAUCUUCGGAACGGCCAAUCCAUCAAAAACAACCACCCCAUAACUGUUACACUCCAUCUGUUCAGAUCCAAGCAUAAAUUCAAUCAUCUCAAUACACUCACUGGUUCUACAUGUAUAAAUGGCACCAAAACUGUAGUUAUUGAAUAGGGCCGUGAUGGAGAACCUAUGGCAGCCAUGCUACAGGUGGCGCACAAAGCCCUCUCUCUGGGCAUGUGCAACAUUGCCAGCUGCUCUUCUGGUUUCCUGUGUGCACUUGCGCAUCGGCCAGCAGGUCUUCUCCAGAGCUCUGGAAAACAGCCAAAAACCAGGCCAUUUUCCAGACUUUUUUCAGACUCCUUUUUUGAGCCGAAAAACGCCCCAAAAACAGGCAUACGCCGGCAGGCCAGCUGAUCUUCGGGUUUUCAGUGCUCUUACAUGCGCAAAGACCAGCUGGCUAGCAUGCACACACACGGUAGAAACCCAAAGGGCAGCUGGCAGGAGCACACAUACCCACCUACCAGCUGGUCUUCGGGUUUCCCGUGCUUGGGUGCGCGCGCAUGCACAUGCAUUCCGGUUUGUGGGCACUCGGGGCUGAAAAGGUUCCCCAUCACUGGAAUAGGGUGUACUUAAAAGGUCCCGCCAUGGGGACAGAUUGAAUUAUUACUAUUGGGAUGGCACAAGGCUAAUUUUACAAUAUAGCAAAGCCUACGCUGGCUUGUAAUGGCAGCCAAAAGACACACCAAAUUCCCUGAUCACAACUUCUCAGUGUAAGAGCCAGGUAACAUUGGGCAAAACUGAGUUUUGUAAUGUAGUCGAACAUGUAUUGUAUUAAAAAAAAAAA